CAGAAAAAUAACUCUUUGUAUUGUGAAGCUAACACCAGCUCAAAGUGUGUGCUGUUUCUGUUCUUUACCACAGAACAGCUUCCUGGCAGCUGCCAUCCCUCUGAGAACAAUUCUGACGAGACUUGAGUGAACAGUAGAUGAUCAGCUGAAGGUCCAGAUCAUCUCGCAGCUCCUCUGUCAGAGACACACUGAGAUAUGCCAAGUUUUCAGCUAACAGCUCUUUUGGAAUCACCUGUUGUGUUUGUGUGACAUGCUGCUAGUAAUAAAGAGC